UAGGGAAUCUUCCGCAAUGGACGAAAGUCUGACGGAGCAACGCCGCGUGAGUGAAGAAGGAUUUCGGUUCGUAAAACUCUGUUGUUAGGGAAGAAAAAAUGUAUAGUAACUAUAUACAAAAGAGACGGUACCUAACCAGAAAGCCACGGCUAACUACGUGCCAGCAGCCGCGGUAAUACGUAGGUGGCAAGUGUUGUCCGGAUUUAUUGGGCGUAAAGCGAGCGCAGGCGGUUAGAAAAGUCUGAAGUGAAAGGCAGUGGCUCAACCAUUGUAGGCUUUGGAAACUGUUUAACUUGAGUGCAGAAGGGGAGAGUGGAAUUCCAUGUGUAGCGGUGAAAUGCGUAGAUAUAUGGAGGAACACCGGUGGCGAAAGCGGCUCUCUGGUCUGUAACUGACGCUGAGGCUCGAAAGCGUGGGGAGCGAACAGG
rnacentral:rRNA from 1 species